CAACAGGGACAGUAAGGUGACUUGCAGAACAGACAGCAUCUGUUAGGUUCUCAGGUAGUAUCUCAGGUAGGUUCCCAGGUAGGAUCCCAGGCAGGUUCCCAGGUAGGUUCCCAGGUAGGUUCCCAGGUAGGAUCCCAGGUUGGAUCCCAGGUAGGUUCUCAGGUGCGUUCUCAAGUAGGUUUUCAGGUAGGUUCUCAGGUGACGCUGGACUGUUAGGUGGGACAUCCCCUGUAUAUGUGGACACCACUACAGCAGUGACAUCAUCUCCAUCUCCACAGUCUGACCACGUCACAGAGGGGUCGAGGGUCAGGGUUAGGGUUACAGAGGGGUCGAGGGUUACAGAGGGGUCGAGGUGGAGGGCUUGGUCUGUAGCAGGUUGACUGUCUGAGUGUUCUGACCCCUCCUCUGUCCUGGUGCCACAGGAUCCCUGAUCCACUGUCCUGUCAGAGUGGUCUCCGCUGUGUUCCCCUAGAACCAAGGGGGCCUCACUCCGUCUCCGUAGGACCUCUGUUAUCUCCAUCGCUACACCCUCUCCACCCUCCUCUCCACCCUCCAUCUCUCCACCUGCUCCACCAGACGCUCCCCCAGAGUUGGAACCUGUUUCUGGGGGCGGGAAGUCUCCGUCCAUGGGGGUAGUCCCAUCCCUGGUCUCUGGAGGGUGCUCACUGUCUGACUGGCGGUCAAUCUGGUGGUAUUUCUGGAGGUCUGCAGGUACAGACACUAUCCCUUCUGUUACCUCUGACCCUAACACACCCUCCUUAGUCUCAGCUCUGAGGCCAGAGUCACCAGCCUCUAUGGGCUUACCCUGUCUGGCACCCUGUCUCUCGCCUUCUCUGUCACCCUGUCUGUCACCCUGUCUCUCACCUUCUCUGCCACCCUGUCCGACACCCUGUCUGUCACCUUCUCUGUCACCCUGUCUCUCACCUUCUCUGUCACCCUGUCUGUCACCCUGUCUGUCACCUUCUCUGUCACCAUGUCUGGCACCCUGUCUCUCACCUUCUCUGUGACCCUGUCUGUCACCCUGUCUCUCACCUUCUCUGUCACCCUGUCUGGCACUGCCCUCUAGUGGCAGAUCCCCCUCGGACACCUGCUCUGACUGAGGCUCUGAUGAGGACUCUGAGCGAUGCUCUAUUGCGGGCUCUAGUGUCGGCUCUAACCGGGGUUGAGGCUCUAACAGGGGUUCUGGGGGUGUAGGCUCUAACAGGGGUUCUGGUGGUGUAGGCUCUAACAGGGGUUCAGGCUCUAACAGGGGUUCAGGCUCUAACAGGGGUUCAGGCUCUAACAGGGGUUCUGGUGGUGUAGACUCUAACAGG
rnacentral:lncRNA from 1 species